AGUGUGAUUAAUGAGUCACAUGCUGAGAUAAGUUGACCUUAGUAAUCAUGCUAAAAUGUCUUCCAAAGUGGCUGUACCAUUUGCAUUCCCUCCAGCAA
ensembl:miRNA